GUAAACAGGAAACGAGUUGGCAUCUGAACAACAAUAUAACUCUUGGACUGAGAAUAGGUAGGGGCCGCGCGAACGCAGGCCCCCUCUGCCACAAAUUAUGACGUAGGCUCUCCCAGCUUGGGGAGACCUUAGACCAGCACCCCUCCAAAGUGCAAUGAAGGUCACUGACCUAGGCCAUAGGCCUUGCUGAUCACCCAUUGACCCCGUCCAGGUAAGUAUGUUCUAAACUGCUUCUCGCUUCUAAUUUAUAGCUGUCAGAUUUCUCUCUGUCUUGCAUUCCAUCGAUGUGGGAUUGUUAGCUUACCUUCAGUUUCAGACAGUGCUGCAUUUUUAUUCCCCGUUCUGAACACCUUCAAAUUGCCUUUUGAUUCACCCCCAAGCUGUAAAGGUUCAGAAUCUGGACAUUUAGAGCAGCAUAAAUAUUUGGGUAAAAAUUCCCUAUUCAUCGAUUGCAAGUGAGAUAUGGCCAAUGCAUAUUACUCCAAUUCAAUUGAGUUCUUCGAAUUGAUGUUGUAUUCUGGAUUUGUUAUUGCUUUGGAAAUAGAAGUCAUUAGUUAAUAGCUCAUGAAUUGCUUGUUAAACUGCCUCGAUGAAGAGUUGUUAAUUUCUAUUGUAUGAGAAUCUGUUUGCAAAACUAUACGCAUGGGCAAGUGGGAGUAUUAAGUUUUAACUAUAUGGUGUUACUACAAGAAAUGUAGAUCGAAAGAUUUUCUCUAGUUCAGCUCUUAGAUACGUAUUUACAUAAUUUUAUAUUUCAUAGCAUCUUUGAUUAAUGCUUUAUAUUCGACUCUUCUUUCUUACUGUAAAUUUUGAUGCAUGACAUUGUAUGAACUUUAGCCAGAAGAAUAUGAGGUGUUUGUUCUUUAUAUAUUUGGAAAUUAGACUCUUCUGACACAACACACAUCACUUUUCGAAGCUGUUCUCAGUUGAUGAGGAGGGUUUGAUCAGGCACAAGGCUAAAUUACAAAAAAAUUGCAAUUAUUGAGGUCCAGAAGUAAAAAAGAAUAAUAAUUUUACUUUUGAAAUAGUUACAACGUAACCACUAAUGUUGUUAAUAAUGUUUAAUAUAGCUCAUGCAAUAUAAGAUUUAAGCUUGUAUAGCUGAGGGUGUUUAUUAUGUCUAUGUGAAUGGAAAAUAUAAAUUAAAUUUCAUGUUACUGCACAUUAUUACAGUAAACUCGAAUUUAAGGCAUAUAUAUAAUUGCAUGAGCACAGUAUAGCAAAUUAUCCGGGAAAAAAAAGAAGUUAAAGGUGUUAGAUUUACUUGCGCUGGAUGAUACGUGAUUAAAAAAGACUUGGGACGAAAUGAUCAAGUUUCUUAAUUUUUUCAAAUCCACUUCGAAAUUUCAAGAAAAAAUAAAAUAUCCAAAUUUAAUCACUUUAAAACAAACGACAAAAGCAAAAAUUUUAAAUUUAGGCUCUCAUUUAACCCAUUUGUUAAAAGGAGCAUAACGGAGUCGGGGGCAUAUAGAAGCUUGGGCUUCCAAUCCAUUUAAUAAAACCAUGAAGUAAUGCGGAUAGAAGAGGUUGACGGCAAAGUGGAGAAGACGGCCAUGAACUCCGUUGUCUGAGAACAUAUCGGUAAUCAGAUGAACGUCAAAAUAACUUUGGUCUGAGAUUUGGUAGGGGCCGCGCGAACGCAGGCCCCCUCUGCCACAAAUUACGACGUAGGCUCUCCCAACUUGGGGAGACCUUAGACCAGCACCCCUCCUAAGUGCAAUGGAGGUCACUGACCUAGGCCAUGGACCUUCCUGAUCACACAUUGACCCCGUCCAGGUAAGUAUGUAGCCUUUUGCUUCUAGCUUCUGAUUUAUAGGCAUGGCACUUCACUCUCUCUUGUAUUUGUUCGAUGUGGGUUUGUAGCUUUCAUUUUGUUUCAGAUUUAGCUCCAUUUUUUAUUCACCAGUCUGAACACCGGCAAAUUGCCCUUUGAUUCAUCCCUAAGCUGUAAAGGUUCAGAAUUUGGCCAUUUACAGGUGCCAAAAAAAAAAGAUAAAAAUCACUAUUUUCGUUUCCUUUUUCUUUACUAGAAAUUUUAAUUAUUCAUUGAUUGCAGCUGAGACAUGUUCAAUGAGUAUUUUUUUCCAAUUCAAUUGGAUUUGUUAUUGCUUUAGAAAUAGAAAUCAUUAGUUCAUAGCUCAUGAUUUGCUUGUCAAAUUGCCUCAAUUGAGAGUAGUUAAUUUCUCUUGUGUGAGAACAUGUUUGCAACAAUAUAUGCAUGUGUAAGUGGGAGCAUAAAGUGUUAACUACCCGGUGUUUAUCCGUCAAUUUCCAGCCUGUUCAUUGAUUGCAUAUCUUCAGAUUUCAGAUAUCGAAUUGCUGAUGAGAGCAUGCACAAAGAAUGAGAAAUUACUAUGAUGUUGAUGAUUGAGAAAUUACUAUCUUGUGGAGAAGAGCUCAAUGCGAUUGCCUUGAUCUUUAUUUGAAUAAUCCCAAAUAUCAAUGCACUUAGAUUAACCCAUAAUUGAUUCUUGCUUUCGGUUUGUCGUGGUAGCAUUUCACAAUGCAGUGAAUGGACUGAAAGAGGAUUUGUUCUAAGGAAAUGAGCAUAGAGGGAAAGGCAGAAUUGGAGGGAGAAGUGUGGAUUGUAGUAAGUAUGUUUCCAUAUACUUAAUUACUCUUCAAUGUAGUUUCAGGUUGGACGAGGUUCAAAGGUAGAGCUUCUUUCUGCAUUUGAGGCAAGCUGUGUCAAUGAGUGUUUCUGCCUGCUUCAAUCCAAACUAAUAGUCCUAAAGGAUCUGGAUGCCAUUGUUCUGUUUCAUAUUAUAGAGUGAGUGGAAAGCUGAUGUUAUGAAGUGAUUGUAUUGAGACUGAUAUAGGCUUUGUUUUAAGGAGACUAGGGAGCUUUGGGGUUACUACAAGCUUUGUUUGUCCUGGUAACAUUUCACCAGAAGGUGAAUGGACUGGAAGAGGAUUAGUUCUAAGUGAGAGUUGGAGGUAUAAGUGUGGACUGUAAUAACUAUGUCUUGAUAUAUAUCCUUACCAUUCAAUAUGGUUUCAGGUUGAACAAGGUUCAAAGGUAGAGGUAGAGCUUCCGUUCUAGCUUGCUCAUGAGCUGCCCUUGAGGCAAGCUGCAUCAACGAGUGUUCCUGCCUGCUUCAAUCCAAAGUAAUCGUCCCAAAGGAGUUGGAUACCAUUUUUAUGAUUCAUGUUUAUAGAGUGAGUGGAAGGGUUUGAUCAGGCACAAGGCUAAAUAAAAAAAUUGCAAUUAUUGAGGUCCAGAAGUGAAGAAAAAAAAUGUUAAAUAAAAAAAGAAGUGAAAAAUAUUUCUGAGUGAAACUAUGUAAUUUAAGGUUGCCAUCUCACAUGCAUGAAAUUGGUGAGGCUUCUAUUGACAGUGUGGAAGCUUUCUGUCCAUAGUUAAGUAUGCCUUUCUUGCUUGGUUUACUCCUGACUUGACCCUUUAGAUAAAUGGUCUAAUUCUAACCCCACUAGUUCACAUACAUCCGGUGUUUACAAUCAAGAAUUUCAGAAAAAUUCAAAUUAUUUUGAUUUCUUUCUAUUAUGAAUCAUUCUAAACAAAGCCAUUGUGAUAAACCCUUGUGCUUGAACAUGUUGUGUAUGAUGAUGAAAUGAAAUGCAUGAAAAGAAUUGCUAGUCAUAUUAAUAUGUUGUAUGAGUUUAGCACUUUGUUUAUGUUUCUUAAAAUGGACUUGUUCAAAUGAAUUUAUUUGUGAUUAAGGAUUCAUGUUGUGGUCAUGUAAGCUCUCCUGUGAUAAGUGGUUGUCAGUAGAUGGAUGAAUAUCUCUUAUUUCCAUAUAUCCUGAACAAAGAUUAGCCAUUACAGUCACUUCAUUCAGCUUCAUGGAUGAAAUUGAUUCUCUUGUGGAGUAGAGAAGACUAUUACUGACUUGAAAAUUGUCUAGAAAAGUUGAGCUUUUUGCCGGGGUGGGAAUUCAUUUGGCUGCUGAAGGGAGCAAAAUAGUUGCGGAUAAGAUACUGAGGAGCAGCUGAAAGAAGCAGAAGGGAGCCCGUCGCCUGUACACUGGAAGUUUAUCUUUGCUGAAUUUAUCCAGUUGCUGCUAAUGGAAAAACAACACAAAAUUUGUUAUUGUUUAUAUUUAUUGUUUAUGGG
rnacentral:lncRNA from 1 species